AAGGGAAAGCUGUAGCUAAAAGAAGCUGCUAACUAUCUUUUAAAGCGGUUAAAGUCCGUUUUUCCCUUA
rnacentral:tRNA from 1 species